rnacentral:rRNA from 1 species
UACGAGUGCCCCAAGCGUUAUCCGGAAUUAUUGGGCGUAAAGGGUCAGUAGGCGGUUGUGUUAGUCUUCUGUUAAAUUCUUCGGCUUAACCGGGGGUCAGCAGGGGAAACGGCACAACUUGAGGAUGCGAGAGGUGAAUGGAACUCAUAGUGUAGGGGUGAAAUCCGUUGAUAUUAUGGGGAACACCAAAAGCGAAGGCAAUUCACUGGCGCACUCCUAACGCUGAAUGACGAAAGCGUGGGUAGCGAAUGGG